GAGGGUAUAGUUCAGUGGUAGAGCACGUGCUUAGCAGGCACAAGGUCUUGGGUUCAAUCCCCAGUACCUCCA
rnacentral:tRNA from 1 species